rnacentral:rRNA from 1 species
AACGAACGCUGGCGGCAUGCCUAACACAUGCAAGUCGAACGAGACCGUCGGGUCUAGUGGCGCACGGGUGCGUAACGCGUGGGAACCUGCCCUUAGGUUCGGAAUAACUCCCCGAAAGGGGUGCUAAUACCGGAUAAUGUCUUCGGACCAAAGAUUUAUCGCCUUUGGAUGGGGCCGCGUUGGAUUAGCGAGUUGGUAGGGUAAAAGCAUACCAAGGCGACGAUGCAGAGCUGGUCUGAGAGGAUGCUCAGGAACGCUGGAACUGAGACACGGCCUAGUCUCCGACGGGAGGGAGCAGUGGGGAAUAUUGGGCGAUGGGCGAAAGCCUGAUACAGCAAUGCCGCGUGAGUGAUGAAGGCCUUAGGGUUGUAAAGCUCUUUUACCCGGGAUGAUAAUGACAGUACCGGGAGAAUAAGCUCCGGCUAACUCCGUG